AUGUACCACUCCUACACUGUGGUUCUGGGCGCGGCGUCCGCGCCCACCUGAUAGCUUCUGGCUACGUUUUGUUAGCC
rnacentral:sRNA from 1 species